rnacentral:lncRNA from 1 species
CCAUUUUGGAAAGCAAUAUGGGAGUUUCUCAGAAUAUUGGGAAUUGAUCAACCUCAAGAGCCAGCUCUACUGUUCCUGAGCAUUUACCUAAAGAUGUUCCAUCAUAUCACAGGGACACUUACACAACUAUGUUCAUAGCCACUUUAUUCGUAACAGCCAGAAACUAUAAAGAACUUAGAUAUCUCUAAACUGAAGAAUAGAUAAAGAAAACAAGGUGCAUACACAAUAAAGUAUUGCUAGGUGUUAAAAACAAUAAUGCCCUGAAGUUUGUAGGUAAAUGAAUGGAAGUGGUUUUUUUUUUUUGUUUUGUUUUGUUUUUUUAAGAUUACACUGUAGCUGUCUUCAGACACACCAGAAGAGGGGAUCAGAUCCCAUUAGAGAUGGUUGUGAGCCACCAUGGGGUUGCUGGGAAUUGAACUCAGGACCUCUGGAAGAGCAGUCAGUGCUCUUAACCGCUGAGCCAUCUCUCCAGCCCCCAUGAAUGGAAGUUUUAAUUG